GGUUAUCCUGCCAGUAGUCAUAUGCUUGUCUCAAAGAUUAAGCCAUGCAUGUCUAAGUAUAAAUAGUAUACAGUGAAACUGCGAAUGGCUCAUUAAAACAGUUAUAGUUUAUUUGAUAAUUGACAAUUACAUGGAUAACCGUGGUAAUUCUAGAGCUAAUACAUGCUUAAACGCCCGACUUUAUGGAAGGGUGGUAUUUAUUAGACUGAAGCCAAUAUUCCUUGUGUCUAUUGCGGUGAUUCAUAAUAACUGAUCGAAUCUCUUUUUGAGAUAAAUCAUUCAAGUUUCUGCCCUAUCAGCUUUCGAUGGUAGUGUAUUGGACUACCAUGGCAGUAACGGGUAACGAAGAAUUAGGGUUCGAUUUCGGAGAGGGAGCAUGAGAAACGGCUACCACAUCUAAGGAAGGCAGCAGGCGCGUAAAUUACCCAAUCCUGACUCAGGGAGGUAGUGACAAGAAAUAGCAAACCGGGAACCUCAUGGUUUCACGGUAUUGCAAUGAGAACAAUUUAAAACCCUUAGCGAGAAUCAAGUGGAGGACAAGUCUGGUGCCAGCACCCGCGGUAAUUCCAGCUCCACUAGCGUAUAUUAAAGUUGUUGCAGUUAAAAAGCUCGUAGUUGAACCUCUGUCUGGGGCUAGUUUUGGCUUUGGUCAGGCUAGUUCUAGGCAUCCGCCUACAAGACUUAGAGGGCAUUCAGUUGUUCACUAGGAGGAGUAGGCAUUUUACUUUGAAAAAAUUAGAGUGUUUAAGGCAGGCAAUCGCCCGCAUAUAUUAGCAUGGAAUAAUAGAAUAGGACACUUUUCCAUUUCGUUGGUUAUUGGAAUCGUGUAAUGAUUAAUAGGGACAGUUGUGGGCAUUUGUAUUUAAUUGUCAGAGGUGAAAUUCUUGGAUUUAUUAAAGACAAACUAACGCGAAAGCAUUUGCCAAGGAUGUUUUCAUUAAUCAAGAACGAAAGUUAGGGGAUCAAAGACGAUCAGAUACCGUCCUAGUCUUAACUAUAAACUAUUCCGACUCAAUGUUUGACUGGCUUAUAUAACCAGUUGAGCGUUGUAUGAGAAAUCAAAGUCUUUAGGUUCUGGGGGGAGUAUGGUUGCAAAGCUGAAACUUAAAGGAAUUGACGGAAGAGCACAACCAGGAGUGGAUUCUGCGGCUUAAUUUGACUCAACACGGGGAAACUUACCAGGUUAAAACAAUAGUGGGAUUGACAGUUUGAGAGCGCUUUCUUGAUUGGUUGGGUGGUGGUGCAUGGCCGUUCUUAGUUGGUGGAGUGAUUUGUCUGCUUAG
rnacentral:rRNA from 1 species